GAUGAACGCUGGCGGCGUGCUUAACACAUGCAAGUCGAGCGGAGCGGCGAACGGGUGAGUAACGCGUGAGUAACUGCCCCCCUCUCUGGGAUAACAGUUGGAAACGGCUGCUAAUACCGGAUAGUGGGGGAUGACUCGCGUCCUAUCAGCUUGUUGGUGGGGUAGUGGCCUACCAAGGCGACGACGGGUAGCCGGCCUGAGAGGGUGACCGGCCACAUUGGGCUGAGCAGCGGCCCAGGGGCCUACGGGAGGCAGCAGUGGGGGAAAUUGCAGAAUGUGCGAAAGCCUGAUGCAGCGACGCCGCGUGGGGGAUGAAGGCUUUCGGGUUGUAAACCUCUUGCGCUAUCGAAAGGGUAGGUGGAGAAGAAGCGCCGGCUAACUACGUGCCAGCAGCCGCGGUAAUAC
rnacentral:rRNA from 1 species